rnacentral:lncRNA from 1 species
UAUAAAUGCUGUGAUGUCCAAAUUCACAUACAUGUACAGUAACAGUUGAUGAAAACAUACAUUUGAUAUGCUACUCAAAAUAUUCAGUUCUGGACGGAGUUUUGCAUUAUAUACUAAGGAGUUCUCCAUUUAUAACAACAGCAGGUAGUGGUCGUGAGUGAACAUUUUUUAAAGGUUUGACUUUUUCUGGAGUCCUACAUUUUCUACCUAGUAACGAAAAUUAUUUCCUGCGGAGCUUUUAAAAAAAAAAUGGUACUGUACUGCUACAGUUUUCGGGUGACUUUUCAGUAGUUUCUUAUGCCCACCAAAAGACUGGCAACAUACUUUAUCUUUCUUAAUAUGUGUCACUUUUAUCGUGAUCUCACAUGAGCACUGUAGAAAUCAUGGACUCACGUUCAGAGAUACUGUAAACGGGGGAUGUAUUAACUGUGCACAAUUUCUGUGUGGUAAGUAAAGUGAAAGUGAAGUACAGUAUAUGUGGUUUGGUUGUCCCUUUGGAGCUGCCGUAGAUAGGGAUUUUGCUAUAUGCAAUGUAUCAGAAUUCUGGGAGAUCAGAGAUUCUGCAGUAGGGUAUUUCAGGUCAAACACCACAGUGCAGCGCAGCUGUGUGAGAAGUGAAGUUAUUUUGGUAGCAGGCGAGGAAAUCAGCAGCCCAUUCGACUUACCACUAACAAGUGGCAGGAAAUUGGCAGCCCAUGUUGUUAUAGCUAGGUGUUACCAGAAGGAGUUCACAGUGUGUACACACCCCGUGCCCAAUUGGGCAAAAGUCAGUCCUUGGCAGCUUGUCGAGCACAUUUUGAGGUGCACCAAAGGUAUGUGGAAGGCAUGAGGAGGCUGAGCUGGU